GACGGAGGAUGCAAGCGUUAUCCGGAAUGAUUGGGCGUAAAGCGUCCGCAGGUGGCACUUCCAGUCUGCUGUCAAAGACCGGGGCUUAACUUCGGAAAGGCAGUGGAAACAGAAGAGCUAGAGUAUGGUAGGGGUAGAGGGAAUUCCCAGUGUAGCGGUGAAAUGCGUAGAGAUUGGGAAGAACACCGGUGGCGAAAGCGCUCUACUGGACCAAAACUGACACUCAGGGACGAAAGCUAGGGGAGCGAAUGGG
rnacentral:rRNA from 1 species